rnacentral:rRNA from 1 species
UUACGGGAGGCAGCAGUGGGGAAUUUUGCGCAAUGGGCGAAAGCCUGACGCAGCAACGCCGCGUGUGUGAUGAAGGUCUUCGGAUUGUAAAGCACUUUCGACCGGGACGAAAACCCUCUGGCUAACAUCCAGGGGCUUGACGGUACCGGGAGAAGAAGCACCGGCUAACUCUGUGCCAGCAGCCGCGGUAAUACAGAGGGUGCAAGCGUUGUUCGGAAUUAUUGGGCGUAAAGCGCGUGUAGGCGGCUUUGCAAGUCGGGUGUGAAAGCCCUCAGCUCAACUGAGGAAGUGCGCCCGAAACUGCAGAGCUUGAGUGCCGGAGAGGGUGGCGGAAUUCCCCAAGUAGAGGUGAAAUUCGUAGAUAUGGGGAGGAACACCGGUGGCGAAGGCGGCCACCUGGACGGUAACUGACGCUGAGACGCGAAAGCGUGGGGAGCAAACAGGCUUAGAUACCCCGGUAGA